rnacentral:rRNA from 1 species
CCCUUAGAUGUUCUGGGCCGCACGCGCGCUACACUGACGAAUGCAACGAGCUUAUAACCUUGGCCGAAAGGUCUGGGUAAUCUCCAAAUUUCGUCGUGAUGGGGAUAGAUUAUUGCAAUUAUUAAUCUUCAACGAGGAAUGCCUAGUAAGCGCAAGUCAUCAGCUUGCGUUGAUUACGUCCCCGCCCUUUGUACACACCGCCCGUCGCUCCUACCGAUUGAAUGGUCCGGUGAAGCGCUCGGACCGCGGCCUCUUGACGGGUCUCCGUCGAUUGGCUGUGGGAAGUUCGUUAAACCUUAUCAUUUAGAGGAAGGAGAAGUCGUAACA